GACUGACAUUUACAACCCUUAAACACAGGGAAGGAAGAACAUGUAUUUGGUACCUACUUCACAGGGUAUUACAAAGCACCAUAGAAAUGCAAAUGAGUAGCAUUAUCAUUUUUCAUCAUUAUGACUUUAUUUUUUAUUCCAGGCAAACCUCUUACUUUUAUUUUUUCCUGAUUUUCUCAGAAUUAUAACAUCAGAUUGAAAUUUGAAAUAUCCAACAUAGCUUCCAUGUAGAGCCACAUUCUAAAGGCAGAGAGCCUUUAGCAAGAAUAAGAACAAGAGAAUUGGCUUUCUUCCAGAAUUUCUUGAGCUAUGACCUGUUUCCAAGAUGGUAUCAUUAUAUUCUAAGGAUACUAUCUUCUUCAUACAAACAUGUCUGGACACAAGAGAUAAUCUACAAGAAAACUGGAGGAUCAUUUCUCUCUUUGGAUUUCAUGGAAAUGAAGAAUCAAAGAGGAAAUGGGGUGAGAAAACUGAAGCAGAAAGAAACUUAAGUGACUGCUGAGAGCCACGUGACCACCGAAUGCCAGACCUCAUCCUAGCCUAGGAAAAAGACUGGAAUUUAAAUUUGCUACAGAUAAGCCUCAGAAGGAGUCUUUCAAAUCAAUGUAUUUAUUGAGUACCUACUGUUAGGCAUUGUGAGGAAUAUAGAAGAGGUAGAAGAUACUUCUCCUGAGGAGUUGUGGAUAAUGGAGAGCUAAUUGUAUCUUUAUCUCCUUUUCUUCUAUUUUUCUCUCCUACCCUUAUUUUGUUUGAAUGUAUUCAUGGAUCUCACAUAUACAAAAAGGAAAUGUCAUUAAAGAUCAUUAUUUCUUAAAAAAAAAAAAACUUUUGCAGGAUUCAUCCAACAGUGCCCCCAGAUUUCUGCUGUGUUUUUGUAUAGUGCUGGGCUGGAUGAAAG
rnacentral:lncRNA from 1 species